UGGGGAAUCUUGGACAAUGGGCGCAAGCCUGAUCCAGCCAUGCCGCGUGGAUGAUGAAGGCCUUAGGGUUGUAAAAUCCUUUCGUUGGGGACGAUAAUGACGGUACCCAAAGAAGAAGCUCCGGCUAACUUCGUGCCAGCAGCCGCGGUAAUACGAAGGGGGCUAGCGUUGUUCGGAUUUACUGGGCGUAAAGCGCGUGUAGGCGGGUCGUUAAGUUGGGGGUGAAAUCCCGAGGCUCAACCUCGGAACUGCCUUCAAAACUGGCGACCUGGACCCAAGUAGAGGCAAGUGGAAUUGCGAGUGUAGAGGUGAAAUUCGUAGAUAUUCGCAGGAACACCAGUGGCGAAGGCGACUUGCUGGACUUGUGGUGACGCUGAGACGCGAAAGCGUGGGGAGCAAACAGGAUUAGAUACCCCUGUAGUCCCUGAGCGGGCUGGCAAGGCGCAU
rnacentral:rRNA from 1 species